UGACGAGUUUGAUCCUGGCUCAGAUUGAACGCUGGCGGAAUGCUUUACACAUGCAAGUCGAACGGUAGAGGGGGCAACCCCUUGAGAGUGGCGAACGGGUGAGUAAUAUAUCGGAACGUGCCCAGUCGUGGGGGAUAACGUAGUGAAAAUUACGCUAAUACCGCAUACGAUCUAUGGAUGAAAGCGGGGGACCGUAAGGCCUCGCGCGAUUGGAGCGGCCGAUGUCAGAUUAGGUAGUUGGUGAGGUAAAGGCUCACCAAGCCAACGAUCUGUAGCUGGUCUGAGAGGACGACCAGCCACACUGGAACUGAGACACGGUCCAGACUCCGUACGGGA
rnacentral:rRNA from 1 species